ACCCAUCCUUCUCCCUUCCUUGGGUCUGACAUCCCUGUGGUUUCACCAAGGCCUAGGGCCUUGAACUCAGUCCCAGAUUAUAUGGAGCUGUUCCCAUUUCCAACAACUGAUGGAGUAAGAUGUGGAAGGAUGUCGUGGGCACAGGAUCCAGAAUGUCCAGACGAGUGGAGACCUGCCCACGUUGAGUGAUGUGGAGAGCGUGGGACUGGGAGAUGAGACGGAAGGCGAGUCGGAGGUGACCCCAGGUUUCUGGCUUUCUCUGGAAAGAUGUGUUCUGGACACAGUGAUCAGUGGAAAUAAGGAGAGAGAGACGUGGGCAUACGUUUCUCUCAGGAGGAGUGGGGGCUCCUUGAUGAGGCUCAGAGACGCCUGUACCACCCUGUGAUGCUGGAGAACUUUGCGCUUCUCUCAUGACUAGCCCCUGGAAACCACUGUUUUCUUCUCUGCCGCCGUGAAUUUGAGCGCCCUAUAGCUGCCUCAUGUAAGAAGAAUCAUAC